rnacentral:lncRNA from 1 species
AGAGAUCCACAAGGAGACCCACAGCAACGCAUGCGAGAUCAAGCCUCUCACUUGAUCAUUGUGCGGCUACACGGGAUCCGGUGGGCCGCGCCCACGAACACCGCCAUCACGGCCCAAGGCGAACUUGCAUUAGGGGGUGUUUGGGAAGAGAGGGCUAAAUUUUAGCCCUGUCACAUCGAAUGAUUGGACACUAAUUAGGAAUAUUAAAUCUAGACUAAUUACAAAACUAAUUACACAACUCCUAGGCUAAAUCGCGAGACAAAUCUAUUAAGCCUAAUUAGUCCAUGAUUUGACAAUGUGGUGCUACAGUAACCAUUCACUAAUGAUGGAUUAAUUAGGCUUAAUAGAUUCGUCUCGCGAUUUAGCCUAGGGGUUCUGCAAUUAGUUUUGUAAUUAGCUUAUGUUUAGUCCUUUUAAUUAGUUUCCGAACAUCUGAUGUGACAGGGUUAAAGUUUAGCCCCCUCCUUCCAAACACCCCCUUAGUUCACUGAGCCUCACUGCAUAGGAUAGCCGCACGGUCAGUCACGUGCUGCCACAUGUCCAGUUAAUUCAAAAUCACAGUAAACAAAUCCUAACUCACAAAAAAUAAAACAAGAGCUACAUUAAAAAGAGCGCUCUUCCAACUCCUCACUAGAUCACCAACGCCGAAGACUUAGGGAAGAUGUCCGAGAUGAUCCAGUAAUAUGUUUAUCAAGCUAUGAUUGAUCAAUCUAAGGUGAUGACCCACACGGUGUACAACGUCGUCAUCAGCUCCAUGACCAAUGGUGUGGCACAAGGAUACAAAGGACCAGCUUAUGCACCUCCUAUCAACCCACCGGUCAGAGGCUUUUUGGUGACACCCAACAUGUUCCAAUCGGCUCCACAGCCGACGCAUAUGCAGGCCGGGGCAUACAACACCACGUUGCCCCUGGGUUACUAAAGUAGAAUUUGGAGUUUCUCGGAUACCCCUUGCUUCGUAAUACCCUCAGAGUUUACUUAUUAAAGCAAUUACCCACUCUUGAAUCGUGCACGACAUUGCUACUCGUACGCUAGCAGUUUACUUUCAUCAAAUGGUUAAUCAUAGAAUUACUCCAGCAUAGCUUACUAUAAAGAAAGUUUGUGCUGGCGGUCAAAAUUGGUUUGGGCCAACUGCCUGCACAAAUUCAUUUGUGCUGGUCGUUGCGUGAAGAUGACCGCCAGAACAAAUGAAGAGACCAUUUUAAAAAACUUGACUGUUUACCACCAACUUGUGAAUAUUUAUUUCCCACCAAUUUCGAAAUAUAUAUUACCAAGCACAUUAAAUUGAUACUAUUAACAGCAACGAACAUGAACAAAACAAAGAUAAAUUUCAAAGAAUAUGAGGAGUUACAUCGAGAAAUUCACAUCCUUUAUUUGCACUUACGCGAUCAGUUAAUACCAUUCUAUUCCCAAUGGUUCCGUUAGGACGGUUCCUUUACAUUCAGAG